rnacentral:rRNA from 1 species
ACGCUCGACACCUACGGGAGUCAGCAGUGGGGAAUAUUGCACAAUGGGGGAAACCCUGAUGCAGCGACGCCGCGUGGAGGAAGAAGGUCUUCGGAUUGUAAACUCCUGUUGUUGGGGAAAAAGAGGAUGGUACCCAACAAGGAAGUGACUGCUAACUACGUGCCAGCAGCCGCGGUAAUCUGAGCGGGCUGGCAAGGC